ACAUGMAGUCGAGCGGAUGAAGGAAGCUUGCUUCCUGAUUUAGCGGCGGACGGGUGAGUAAUGCCUAGGAAUCUGCCUGGUGGUGGGGGAUAACGUUCCGAAAGGAACGCUAAUACCGCAUACGUCCUACGGGAGAAAGCGGGGGAUCUUCGGACCUCGCGCCAUUAGAUGAGCCUAGGUCGGAUUAGCUAGUUGGUGAGGUAAUGGCUCACCAAGGCGACGAUCCGUAACUGGUCUGAGAGGAUGAUCAGUCACACUGGAACUGAGACACGGUCCAGACUCCUACGGGAGGCAGCAGUGGGGAAUAUUGGACAAUGGGCGAAAGCCUGAUCCAGCCAUGCCGCGUGUGUGAAGAAGGUCUUCGGAUUGUAAAGCACUUUAAGUUGGGAGGAAGGGCAUUAACCUAAUACGUUAAUGUUUUGACGUUACCGACAGAAUAAGCACCGGCUAACUUCGUGCCAGCAGCCGCGUWAAUAAAUUYCCCC
rnacentral:rRNA from 1 species